rnacentral:tRNA from 1 species
GGGCCGGUAAGCAUAACAGGUACUGCGGCUGACGUGAUCAGUUUGCGGGCGGACACCCGCAUGUGGGUUCAAAUCCCACCCGGCCCA